rnacentral:lncRNA from 1 species
ACAGUUCCAGUGGCCAAAGCUCAAAGCAAAGAGUUUUAGCCUUUCUGCCACGAAGGCCCUUUUUAUUAUCUUCAUCUUCCAGAAGCUCAAUUUCUUAAGGAUUUUGCCAACAAACGAAACUAACUAUAUGCAUUAAUUCAUUACAAAUAUUGUAUUAGUCCAGGGUGUAAUUGCUCAUAGAACUUCUGAUUGACCAACAUGGCCAGUGGAGCUGCAAAUAGAGUCAAUCUUUCAAGUCACCUGUGCAGCCUUAUCAUGCUUUUUGAAUACCAAAAAUAGCCCUAGGAGUAUACACUACCACCUUCCCAGGCAUCUGGGCCCCCAGGUGGGAAGCGACAACUUAAUAUGUUUCCUCUCCUGAGAGUGCAUCAUUCUAGCAGCCCACUAGAAGCCAAAAAUGUCCUCAAGAGCCAAAGGAAUUGGCCCAGCGGGGCGCUUCAGGCAUAGCGGCAGGCCUUGCUGCAAAUCCUGUGGUUAAGGCUGCUGUGCAGACUGACUGGCCCUGACUUCCAGUAAACUGAGUUCCUUGUGAGAGCAGAGCAGGUGUGAUGUGAACCCCCCAGGAUGCUUUGUCAGGUGGACAGAGCUUGGGCCAAAUGCCUCCCUUUCCUCAUCUGCCAAGUGGAGAUGAUGACAUCCCAAAGGCCACAGGCUUUACUGUAAGAACUCAGUGAAUUGGUACCUGCCAGGCACUGGGCUGGUUAGUACUUCACCUACCACUUCAUUCAUCCUGCCUGAGUCUUUUAGGAGGAACAGACAAGGAGUGGGCUGGGGAGCUUCUUGCAAGGAUGAAAUGAGCAAAUGCAUGCAAGUCUCUAUGUGUAUAAAAUGGUGUUUUGUGGUCCUGAAUGAUCUCUUAUGGGUGGGCAUGAGGCCUGGCCAGAGAGCCAGAGGGCCUGGGUCCUAGGACCAGCUCUGCCACCAUUUAGCUCUGCAGCCCCAGGCCAGUCCCUUGCCCUCUCUGAGCCUCCAGUAAAGCCUCACCCAGAAGUCGAUGGCUCACGCCUGUAAUCUCAACACUUUGGGAGGCCGAGGCAGGCGGAUCACCUGAGGCCAGGAGUUCAUGACCAGCCUGUCUCUACUAAAAACACAAAAAUUACCUGGGCGUGAUGGUGCGUGCCUGUAGUCCCAACUACUGGAGAGGCUGAGGCAAGAGAAUUGCUUGAACCCAGGAGGUGGAGGUUGCAGUGAGCUGAGAUCGCGCCACUGCACUUCAGCCUGGGCGACAGAGUGAGACUCUGUCUCAAAAAAAAAAAAAAAAAAAAAAAGAGAAAUUAUGAAGAAUUGCAGGACAGUAAUGGCAGAUGCCAAGUGGGGACCCUCUGAGCCUGGGAGAUAAAGGGGUCAUAGGAAAGGAGGCUAGAGGAGGUUGUGCACAAGCUUUCUUUGAUCCCCAUUGUGACCAGGUUUAACUUGAUUCGCUUGCAACAGCUGUGGGGACAGGGCUAUUGCAAGUUGGGCCCUGUGGCCUGCAUGGCUAGCACCCUCUUGCCCAGGCCCCCAAGAACCACUGAUGGAUGAAUCUGCCAGGCCCCUUAACCAGCCUCUGUUCUUCCUUCUGCGGGAGGAGACAGAUGAACAAUUUCACAGCUUUUAUCUCAGAAAACAAAGGGGCUGGAGGCCUAGGGGAGGGAGAUG